GUUUACCUACAUAAGUCAAUAUGAAAUGUCAUAGAAAUCAUUCUAUAUCCAGAGACAUCGAAGCAUAGCAUUAUUAGCUGUGGUUCUAACUGUCAAAAUGACGGGUCUGUUGCAAUGCAGAUGCGCACUGCGCAGCGCGGUAUUUCAAAAUUCAUUUUGCAUGUUCAAUUGAUUUUCCUUUUGAAUAAAAUUGCGUUUACUUUUCAAAUACUACAUAUAUCUAAACUCUUGAACGUUCAACCCACCACCUAUAAAAAUGUGUUCAUAAAAAUUUUGUCUGUUUAAAAUGCAGAGUUCUAGCGCUACGCUACUUGUUUAUAAGCAAGAAAAGCAUUAUAAUGCUUUUAAAAGUGAAUAUAGAGUGGAUUUAUGGUGUGAAUUUAAGAAACGAUGGGUUCUCUGUGGUGCCCUAGCAGCGGUGGCGAUGGCAGUUCUGGCACCAAAAUAUGGGGCUUCCGGAGGCAAAUUUUAAGCAUGCACACGUAGUUUAACAAAAUGCACAAUCAAACGUGCUUUUUCCACACGGAAUACACCAGCUACCUCCCUCUAUCCUGUAUCUACUUCAACUCGGGGCGUCGUCCAUUUCAACCGCUUCGCGCCAGAGUUUACUUCUUGACAGCCUUCCACGCAAAUAUUGCUAGCGUUAUUUUAUGUGCUGUCACUGUUAAUGCACUAUCUGUGGCACUUGACAGACGUGUUAUGGAGGGUGCAUUGCUGGCCAGCUCAAGUGGUCCGUGUGGGUGGUUAUCUCUGUCUCUCUAUGCGAAUGGUGCUACCCCUCUACUUGUUGGAUGCAACUAUGUAUUAUCCUUGCUUACUAUACCAGUAAUACAUCUUUUAUUGUUGAUUUUAGUGUGGCAAAGCCCCGACCCCUUCUAUGGAAGAUCUAAAAACAGCAGCAGUUACAGCAGUUUUGCCCUAUUUAGUGGGCAUUUGUGGUGCAUCAAAAGUGCAGAACAGCCGAACGACCAGCAAACUUGCAGCGUUAGUGCUGUUAUAUGUGGACUGCUGUAAUUUGCUGCGGGAAGCUGAAGGCGCUCUGUAUGUGUCCGACGUCUUCACCGCAUUGGUCCUCGUGGCCAGCUGGCUGAGCACAGUAGCGGCAUCGAGCUAUUUAUACGUUAAAUGUACAAUUCUGGACAUUAACGAAGCGCAAUUGUUGCAGCUCGUAGCGACACCAAAAUCGAGAUUUGAUUGGAUUUCAUCAACUUGUCCCAGAGAGGGAUUAUACCUACUUCCCACCGUGUUCCUUGCGCCGGCGCAGGCAUUUUUACUGUCAUCUAUAUUUUUUGACACUGAUUUAUCUAACCUACCUGAAUAGUUUGAUUGAUGAACAUGG